UGGCUGAGUGGUAAAGUGCUAGGCUUCCAAAACAAGGGUCCCGGGUUCGAAUCCCGG
rnacentral:tRNA from 1 species